GUAGGUGGCAGGCGUUGUCCGGAAUUAUUGGGCGUAAAGCGCGCGCAGGUGGUUCUUUAAGUCUGAUGUGAAAGCCCCCGGCUCAACCGGGGAGGGUCAUUGGAAACUGGGGAACUUGAGUGCAGGAGAGGAAAGUGGAAUUCCACGUGUAGCGGUGAAAUGCGUAGAUAUGUGGAGGAACACCAGUGGCGAAGGCGACUUUCUGGCCUGUAACUGACACUGAGGCGCGAAAGCGUGGGGAGCAAACAGGGAUUAGAUACCCUGGUAGUCCACGCCGUAAACGAUGAGUGCUAAGUGUUGGGGGGGGUUCCCCGCCCCCGUCAGUGCUGCAGCUAACGCAUUAAGCACUCCGCCUGGGAGUACGGUCGCAAGACUG
rnacentral:rRNA from 1 species